rnacentral:lncRNA from 1 species
UUAAAUAAACAGAAAACCCAAAUAUGGUUCUCUGUGAUUUUUGUAUGUGGAAAAACACAAUGAUAUUCCUUGGCUUUAAUAUGUGGAGAAUAAACAAUGGUUGUUUGCGGCUUAAAUUUGCGGUACUCUGUGCUUUAAAUAUGAUCAAAUAUGAGUUUAAAAGAGAAACAGGGAAAACAUGUUGAAAUUUAAAAAAAAAAAAAAAACAUUAAUCGUAGAAAAAAAAAGAAGAGCAUUCAAAGAAGAAAUUUAACUGCAAUCAGACGAAUCGGUAGUUUAAAAGGUAUAUCUCAAAAGAUCUCAAAAUAAACACAAGAAAAUAGAAAAGCAUACACUUUUUAUUUAAUUUGCAAAUAUUUUGCUGUUUCUUGCUAGAAUAUGAAAAGCAUAAAAAAUAGCAUUCAAUAAAUACUGAGAUUAUUUUUUCUUUUGUCGUAAAUAAGUAAAUUAUAACAUUUUGUAUAGAUUAAAUUAUUCUGUUCGAGAGCAAGCAAUUGUAUAGAUAUAAGAUCGGAACCUGCUGAUGUUCUCCACAUGAUAUUAAUGAUAUCAGACGAUCGUCCAUAACACAGGCAAUUUGAAGCAGUGGGGAUUAUUUAACUCUCCUGAGAAAUGUCUGAUUUUUAUCCAAGAAAAUAUUUCAAGAAAGAUUUACAGCGUAAUGUAAUUUUACAAAUAAGAAUACUGCAUUUUUAUUACACAAUUUAAACAAAUCUGUUUAUUUGUUAAUGUAUUCAAAUUUCACAUCAAAUACAUACA